UACGUAGGGUGCGAGCGUUAAUCAGAAUUACUGGGCGUAAAGCGUGCGCAGGCGGUUCGCCAAGUCAGGUGUGAAAUCCCCGGGCUUAACCUGGGAAUUGCGCUUGAAACUAGCGGGCUUGAGUGUGGCAGAGGGGGGUGGAAUUCCACGUGUAGCAGUGAAAUGCGUAGAGAUGUGGAGGAACACCGAUGGCGAAGGCAGCCCCCUGGGUCAACACUGACGCUCAUGCACGAAAGCGUGGGGAGCAAACAGG
rnacentral:rRNA from 1 species